CUAUAUAUAAAAGAUUGAUUUCUUUGUAGUUUUGCAUAUCCUCAUCCAUUUUCUGUCAUAUGCUACCACAAUGGUCUCAAGGAAGAUUGACAUGUUUUGUAUGAUUACUAUCUCUAUCAUUUUGUUUUUCAUGUGUUAUUUUUGGACAAUAAUAAAUCUUUGUUAAGAUUUAAGACAAUAAUAAAUCUUAUUUUAUUAUUUUUGGACUUAAUUUGUCAACAAAAUUAAUUGGGAUUGUAUACGAUUUCCAUAUGUUUGAAUGUUUUCCUCCUCUGUCAAUUUUAGUGACAUUUCUUUUGAAGAGCUGUUUUCUACCUUACCCCUUCAAUUGUUUGUAGCUUUUAAAUAUGGUUAGUAUAUCCUGCUUCUGCAUAAUUGCUAAAGUUGAAUCUUUUAUCCAAACUUUGUAUCAUUAUUUUUACUUGCUUUAAAAUGGUAUGAGAUUUCUGUUAGCUUUUCCAACCUAUGUUUCCUUGACCCCUUUGUUUUUCUAAUGAUAUGAUCAACUGGAGUUACUUCUUAUUCAUGAACUUUUUAUCUAUGUGGACAAUUUUAUGCUGGAUAAUUGGAGUGUGGCAUGGACAAGGAAGGUGGAGAUAAAGAAUGCUCGCUAGAUUGAUGAAAUAUUUGAUGCAAUAAGUUAUAGAAAAGGUGCAUCUGUUAUCAGGAUGCUGCAAAGCUAUCUUGGUGCUCAAUGCUUUCAGGUGACUGUUAUCGGCAAUAUGGUAAAGGUUUAGGCUCAGUGCCAUUUUCUCCUAAAUCAAUUGCUAAACGAGGUUUAGUGAGAGGUAUUCAUCAACAUAGUGUAUGUGCAGUGAGUGUGCAAAAGCUUUGCUGUUACAAUCAGAUAAAUACCCUAUAUGCCGCCAAGCUAUCGAGGAGCUUAUAGAGAUCAAGAUAAACAAUGGCGACGACCAAUGACAUCUUUUGCCCUGAAGCCAAGCUGAAUUAAGUGCAUAGUUUUGUUUUUUAUGUUAUAUUCACUUUAUGUAAAUUGCAGUCAAUAAUCUGUUUAUAGCUUAUAUGUAUUGUUAUUAUAAUCAAUAGACAAAUAGAUUCUAUGUCGUUAUCCUGUUGCUGAAUGUUACUCCUGCUCAUUUAAAUUGUAUAGGUGAUUGUUUUGUUUUGGUCUGUGUGUGAUAUUUAAGAGAGGAUCAUUAUUCAUUUGUAUUGUGUAGAUCUGAUUUGAUCACUGGAUGACUUCUUUGUAAUGUAUCUUGAAGGUGAAGGUUCCUUUAC